UGGGGAAUAUUGCACAAUGGGCGCAAGCCUGAUGCAGCCAUGCCGCGUGUGUGAAGAAGGCCUUCGGGUUGUAAAGCACUUUCAGCGGGGAGGAAGGCGAUAAGGUUAAUAACCUCAUCGAUUGACGUUACCCGCAGAAGAAGCACCGGCUAACUCCGUGCCAGCAGCCGCGGUAAUACGGAGGGUGCAAGCGUUAAUCGGAAUUACUGGGCGUAAAGCGCACGCAGGCGGUCUGUCAAGUCGGAUGUGAAAUCCCCGGGCUCAACCUGGGAACUGCAUUCGAAACUGGCAGGCUAGAGUCUUGUAGAGGGGGGUAGAAUUCCAGGUGUGGCGGUGAAAUGCGUAGAGAUCUGGGGGAAUACCGGUGGCGAAGGCGGCCCCCUGGACAAAGACUGACGCUCAGGUGCGAAAGCGUGGGGAGCAAACAGG
rnacentral:rRNA from 1 species